UAUCUCUUCAUAGAGCAGCCCCCACCCCCAUCACCCUUCUGCACAAGGGUGGCACCAUCGCCAUGCUGCCAGGCCUUUGCCCUUCUCUCUCCAACAGCAAAGACUCAGCUCAGGUAACUGCCAGUGUGCAGCUGCCGCAUCCCCAUGUUCACUCCCCUUGUAAUGAAGUCAUGAAUGCCCUGGCACACAGCUGCGCAGGCCCGUCUGCAGUAAUCAUCAGGACGACUGUGACCACAUAGCACUCGACUACGUGCCAGGCACUGUUCUAGGCACUUGACACAUUAACUCAUUUAAUCCUCACAACAGUCCUGUGGGAAGGUACUAUUAUCACUUUGUAGGUGAGAAAACUGAGCACGGGAAGUUGAAGGUGACACAGUUUGUGGGAAGGAGAGUCAGGAUUCAAGACAGCUGGACCCAAAGGACAUACUUGCUACCACUCUGCUGGCUGUGGGCCCAGCAUCCUUUCCCCUGGGAAGGCCCCAAUUCUGGUCUGACCCUGGCCCCAGGCCAGGUGAUGAGAGAUUUCAUUCCUGUGGCCUCAGUGAUUGGUUCAGGGGAGGGCACAGGCACCAAGCCAGGCCCGGCAGCGUCCUCCCCCAAUUCUCCUGCCAGAGCCAGUGGGAACAAGCUUCUCUUUUCUCGGAAGGUGACUGAGCCUCCUGACCACGGAGGGGGCCAGCCCCAGGGAGCCGAGUCGGAACGGCAGAGCCCUGAGGACCAGGGUGAGCCCUGGCCCUGGCCCGGCCCAGCCCACACCCGGCCGUUGUGCUGGUUGACUCAUCUCUUUGCUUAAUCUGGUUUGAGUUAGGUUUCUGUUCCGUCUGAUGGCUGGUUCACCCUUGUGGUCUCAGGGUCUAGCAGUGCCUGGUACAUAGUGGAUGUUCAAAAAAUGUUUGUUGAGGCCGGGCACGGUGGCUCACGCCUGUAAUCCCAGCAUUUUGGGAGACUAAGGAGGGAGGAUUGCCUGAGGUCAGGAGUUCGAGACCAGUGUGGCCAACAUGGUGAAACCCCCACUGUACUAAAAAUACAAAAAUUAGCUGCGCAUGGUGGUGCGUGCCUGUAAUCCCAGCUACUCAGGAGGCUGAGACAGGAGAAUUGCUUGAACCCAGGAGGCGGAGGUUGCAGCGAGUCGAGAUUGUGCCACUGCAUUCCAGCCUGGGUGACAGAGCAAGACUCCAUCUAAAAAAAAAAUUUUUUUAUUGAAAGCAUGAGUGAGACCGGGCAUGGUGGCUCAUGCCUGUAAUCCCAGCACUUUGGGAGUCUGAGGCGGGCAGAUCACCUGAGGUCAGGGGUAUGAGACCAGCCUUGCCAACAUGGCAAAACCCCGUCUCUCCUAAAAUACAAAAAUUAGCCGGGCAUGGUGGUGCAUGCCUGUAAUCCCAGCUACUUGGGAGGCUGAGGCAGGAGAAUCACUUGAACCAGGAGGCAGAGAUUGCAGUGAGCCGAGAUUGCACUCCAGCCUGGGUGACAGAGUGAGAAUACAUCUCAAAAAAAAAAAAAAA
rnacentral:lncRNA from 1 species